AAAAAAAGAAGGCCUGUUUCAGAAACCAAGGCAGGCAGAGACAGGAAGACGAAGAGGAGUGAGCCAUAAAGCCUGGGGAGUGACUUUACCUCAACCACACUGGGUUUCUUCCAAGAAGAAUGUAGCAACGUCACAGAGGCAGAGGAAGGUGGAAGAUUCCGUCUCCUAGGGUGUUUACAUUCCCACCAUCCUCAGUCAUUAGGAGAGGCUGAUCAACUCUCAGGCUGACAGAGACCCUUGAGACCAGACAAACUUGCUCUGGCCACAUAGGGUGGUUCUCUGGCCUAAGAAGGAUGCUCUUUUAAAGAGAAAGCUGUCUAAGAAGCCAGCAUGUAAGACUACAGCACACUGGAGAGGAUGUAGCAAAUAGCUGGCAAUAGUAUAUAUAAGUUGUUCAGCUCAGUGUGUGGUCCAGGAGCCUUCCGAUAAAUGUCAGUCUGUUGACCAGAAUACUCCAGAUGUCUGCAGGAUGCUCUCCCUCUUUCCCAUGGACCUCCACUUCAGUGAGGUAUUUAAAACCAGCUGUCAUUGUCGAUGCUGUCAUCAUACUGCAUGUUCUCCUGGCCCACAGAAGAUUAGAGCACCUACGGAGUUCAGCUUCUCUUUCUCCCCAUCUUUUGCCUGGAUCACAUGGACAUUGAAGGCUUCUCCAACUUCUUCCAUGGAAGGUGUGACCUCUGAAGAAGACUGAUCUAUUCCCAACUGCCUAUUCUUCACAGUGCUGUGUUGAAUAACCGCUAUGCCGGGCACUGUGCUGUAAACUGAGCAUAUGGUCAAUAAAACCAUCAUGGGCUUUAAAACUCAAA